ACUGCUCAGUAACACGUGGAUAACCUGCCCUUGGGUCCGGCAUAACUCCGGGAAACUGGAGAUAAUUCCGGAUAACGCACAUAUGCUGGAAUGCUUUAUGCGUAAAAUGGAUUCGUCUGCCCAAGGAUGGGUCUGCGGCCUAUCAGGUAGUAGUGGGUGUAAUGUACCUACUAGCCUACGACGGGUACGGGUUGUGAGAGCAAGAGCCCGGAGAUGGAUUCUGAGACAUGAAUCCAGGCCCUACGGGGCGCAGCAGGCGCGAAAACUUUACAAUGCGGGAAACCGUGAUAAGGGGACACCGAGUGCCAGCAUCAUAUGCUGGCUGUCCAGGUGUGUAAAAUACACCUGUUAGCAAGGGCCGGGCAAGACCGGUGCCAGCCGCCGCGGUAACACCGGCGGCCCGAGUGGUGAUCGUGAUUAUUGGGUCUAAAGGGUCCGUAGCCGGUUUGGUCAGUCCUCCGGGAAAUCUGAUAGCUCAACUAUUAGGCUUUCGGAGGAUACUGCCAGACUUGGAACCGGGAGAGGUAAGAGGUACUACAGGGGUAGGAGUGAAAUCUUGUAAUCCCUGUGGGACCACCUGUGGCGAAGGCGUCUUACCAGAACGGGUUCGACGGUGAGGGACGAAAGCUGGGGGCACGAACCGGAUUAGAUACCCGGGUAGUCCCAGCCGUAAACGAUGCUCGCUAGGUGUCAGGCAUGGCGCGACCGUGUCUGGUGCCGCAGGGAAGCCGUGAAGCGAGCCACCUGGGAAGUACGGCCGCAAGGCUGAAACUUAAAGGAAUUGGCGGGGGAGCAC
rnacentral:rRNA from 1 species